CGGACGGGUGAGGAAUACAUCGGAAUCUACUCUGUCGUGGGGGAUAACGUAGGGAAACUUACGCUAAUACCGCAUACGUCCUACGGGAGAAAGCAGGGGACCUUCGGGCCUUGCGCUAUCAGAUGAGCCUAGGUCGGAUUAGCUAGUUGGUGAGGUAAUGGCUCACCAAGGCGACGAUCCGUAACUGGUCUGAGAGGAUGAUCAGUCACACUGGAACUGAGACACGGUCCAGACUCCUACGGGAGGCAGCAGAC
rnacentral:rRNA from 1 species